rnacentral:rRNA from 1 species
GUACACUCCUACGGGAGGCAGCAGUGGGGAAUAUUGCACAAUGGGCGCAAGCCUGAUGCAGCCAUGCCGCGUGUAUGAAGAAGGCCUUCGGGUUGUAAAGUACUUUCAGCGGGGAGGAAGGCGAUAAGGUUAAUAACCUUGUUGAUUGACGUUACCCGCAGAAGAAGCACCGGCUAACUCCGUGCCAGCAGCCGCGGUAAUACGGAGGGUGCAAGCGUUAAUCGGAAUUACUGGGCGUAAAGCGCACGCAGGCGGUCUGUCAAGUCGGAUGUGAAAUCCCCGGGCUCAACCUGGGAACUGCAUUCGAAACUGGCAGGCUAGAGUCUUGUAGAGGGGGGUAGAAUUCCAGGUGUAGCGGUGAAAUGCGUAGAGAUCUGGAGGAAUACCGGUGGCGAAGGCGGCCCCCUGGACAAAGACUGACGCUCAGGUGCGAAAGCGUGGGGAGCAAACAGGAUUAGAAACCCUAGUAGUCCCAUGA